AAUGUGGAAUUCGCCCUUGGACUACCAGUGGCGAAAGCGCCUGACGAGGACUUGCUCGUCGGCCAAGGACCAAAGUUGGGGUAUCGAUAACGAUUAGAGACCGUUGUAGUCCCAACCACAAACUUUGCUGACUGGCAGUGUGCGGCGUGCGCUUCGGCGGCGCCGUGCGGGGCCUAGGCGAAAGCAUAGUCUUCGAGUCUCGUGGAGAGUAUGCACGCAAGUGUGAAAUUUAAAGGAAUUGGCGGGAUCCCAUACAGGGACUGGGACACGCGAUUUAAUUUGAUUCAACACGGGAAAACUUACCAGGGCCGCGACGCUUGUGAGCCGCCUUGCUGGGGCAACAAGGCUGCAGGCCGGCGGCGAUUGCGUCUAAGGUUGUGCAUGGCCACCCGAAGCCGGUGGAGUGGUUUUUUGGUUAAGUCCGUCAAUCGGCGAGACCCAAGCCUCCAGUUGUGCUGGAGGGACCGGACUCGCAAGGGUCAGGUAGGUCGGUCUAAGGUAGGUCCGUGAUGCAAA
rnacentral:rRNA from 1 species